UCAUGUCUUCAAGGAGAAAAACAGAAAGAAAAACGAGCAGUUAUUUAUAAGAGAGGCAAAUAGAUUCAUCACUACCCUUGUUUUUACAGGAACUAUGGGAACCCUAUCAUAAAGGGGCCUCUCCCGAUUAUACACCCAAAGUAUCAUUGAAAUACCAAACCCCCAAUUUUUUCUAUUGGAAGCUACACCCUGAAAACAAUAUCCCUUUAUGAUUAUCCAUUUAAGAUUUUCCAAAGCACUCUUCACAGUGAGUAUUUUAAGUAUUCUCAAUAAGGACUUAACAGUAGAAUACAGAACUAGACGGGGGAAAUAUGUGCCUGUGUGUGUGUAUGUGUGUGCACCCGUGUGCAUCUGUGUUGUUGUGGGUCUGGUGUGGGGUAUUUGGAGCUAUAAUUAACUGGUCACGUUUUUCAUAAAGAGAAGGUAAUUAAAACAAUCAAUGGCCCUGAAAUGACACAUAUUAUUGUCAUUAUUGUCAACUUUAGAUCAUGAAAGUAUACCUUUAUAGAGUAAACAGGUAAAUCAUCAGGAUUUUUCAACAUACUAUCUUCUUUUUUAUUUUCUUUCUGAGACAGGAUCUCACUGCAUCACCCAGGCUGGAGUGCAGUGGUGCGAUCAUGACUCACGGCAGUCUCGACCUCCUGGGCUCAAGUGAUCCUCCUGCCUUAGGGCCCCGUGAGGCUGAAACCACAGGUGCAUGCCAUAAUGCCUGGUUUAAUUUUUUUGUAUUUUCUGUAGAGACAGGGUCUCGCUAUGUUGCCUAGGCUGGUCUUGAAUUCCUCACCUCAAGUGAUCCGCCUGCCUAAGCCUCCCAAAGUGUUGGGAUUACAGGCGUGAGCCACUGUACUCAGGCCAACAUGCUAUCUUCUUAAUCAAUACAUAUACUUUUUUAUUCUGAGGGGCCACAAAGAUGCUGUUGUUUCUGGUUUCCUGACUGUAUGUCGAUCCUAAGAAGGUUCAGAGAUUGUGUUUUAAUAAAUUCUGUUUCAAAAACACGUAAAUCAACAAUAUCACCACACCCUGCUAAUCAUUCCAAAGCCAAGAAAAUAAAACCAUUUCUUGAGGAAACUUAAAAACAAUAGAGAAUGAAAGGAGAGGAUCAUUUAAUAGGAUUCUAUUUAAAAGAAAAAAAAGCAUGACUUGGAAUUCAACAAAUAAGACAGUGAUACCGCUGUUAAUAAUCAUUGUUGGAUAAUGUAGGUUUUCCAAAUACCUGAAAUGUUCUUAUUUAAGUGAGAAAGUAAAAACAGUAUUUAAAAAAUGUAAAUCUUUCCCUAAUGUGUUUAAUGUAUUAUAUAUACUUCCUACAUUUGAGACAUAAUAUGUUGAAGAUAUAUCACUGUGCAAAAAUACAGUUCCUUAGUUCCUUCUCAGGGUCUAUUUGCUCUUUAUGGCUUGAUAUCUCUUCUCUCAUGCUCAGAAACUCUAUUAUUACUGUUAUUAUUUAUUUAUUUAUUUAUUUGAGAUAGAGUCUUGCUCUGUUGUACAGGCCGGAGUGCAAUGGCGUGAUCUUGGCUCACUGCAACCUCCACCUCCUGGGUUCAAGUAAUUCUCCUGCCUCAGCCUCCUGAAUAGCUGGGACUACAGGCACGUGCCACCAUGCCCAGCUAAUUUUUGUACUUUUAGCAGAGACAGGGUUUCACCAUGUUGGCCAGGCUGGUCUCGAGCUCCUGACCUCGUGAUCCACCUGGCUCGGCCUCCCAAAGUGCUGAGAUUACAGGCCUGAGCCACCGUGCCCGGCCUUAUUACUGUUAUUAUUAAUUAUUGUUACCCUGGCUAUCCCUGGUAUCCUUUGCCAUUUUUAUUUGCUGGGAACAGGGAAAAGAGGAACCUGGGCUUAUUAAAGACUGAGUCAAGGCCCAAGGCUUAUCCUGGAGCAAAAUGCAAAAUUUAGUGCCCGCGGAUUUUCUGUAUCUGUUUUGGCCCCCCAGAGACCCAUUUUUCAUUGUUUCUUGUCCACUGCCAUGUACUUAGCAGUUGAAACUUCAUUAGAUAAUAUUGGAGGGAAUAACCAGCAUGAAACAAUAUAGCCACUUUGGAAAUACUGAGUAUGUAAUGAAUAUUCAUAACACAGUAUUAAUCCUUAGGACUUUUCUUUUCUUUUUUUUGAGACAGAGUUUUGCUUUUGUCUCCCAGGCUGGAGUGCAAUGGCGCGAUCUCGGCUCACUGCAACUUCCGCCUCCGGGGUUCAAGCGAUUCUCCUGCCUCAGCCUCCCGAGUAGCUGGGAUUACAGGCGUCUGCCACCACGCCCGGCUAAUUUUUGUGUUAUUAGUAGAGAUGGGGUUUCACCAUGUUGGCCAGGCUGGUCUCGAACUCCUGACCUCAGGUCAUCCGUCCACCUCAGCCUCCCAAAGUGCUGGGAUUACAGGCAUGAGCCACCGUGCCCAGCUUAAUCUUUAGGUUUUAUAACAUCUGAGCAAACCAGAAGUAUUUUUCACAAAAUGAAAUCCUUAAGAGGAUUUCCUGGGAACAAUUAUUAAAAUUUUCUGAAAGGGAAAGUUUUUACAAAGGAUAUAAAUCAUUAUGACUAUGUGGAUAAGAUUUAAAAUUCAGCAUAUAUCAAGAAAAAUUGUACCUAUAAACUUACCAAUUUUUAAAAACAUGGAAGACUAUUAAAUGAGCUAAGAAGUGAGAUUAAGGUUAUAUAAAAAGAGGCAUUUAUUUCACAAUAAAGUUGAGACUGAGAAAAAUUUUAGUGUAUCAGGGUAUGUUAUGUUUUUGCUAUGAUAAAUGGAUAUUAUCUUUGAAAAAGCAGACUUUCUUAAUAUAGUGGCUGAAUACAUUGCUCUACUCCACAUAGCCAGCAGGGGGCAGAAAUAAUCUAAAGCACAGAAUUUUGAUUUUCCACUCCCAGAGGCUCUUAGAAGUUCCCUUCCUUGAAGGCUUUGAACCUGCUCAAUUGAAAAGACUUAUUUCCUCACUGCUGUGUUCAUGGAUGUUAAUUUUGCCUAAUUUCAAUCUAAUUUGUCCCUGCUUGGGUUGAUGAUCUAAAAUUCAUUUAGCACCCAUGCAGUUUUUAUUUGUGACAAAGAGCCACCUCCUGAUUUUCACUGCUUUUCAUUAUGAUACAGGAGAAAGACUAAAGAAAAAUAAAUGUGCUCCAAUUUCACGGAAUUCCAAAGGAUAAUGGAAAUGUCAUUCAAAAUAACCACUUUGUGUAACUUCUCCAGUGGCAGGCAUCUUUCACCCUGAAGUCACGGGAACAACGCUGAGGGGCAGCCAGAGAUUAUGUGGGCUUUUCCAUGGGAAGAACCACUCUAUGUUAUCACCUUCUACAUAGUAGCAGUUGAAGCCAAAUGGACAGAAAGCCCGAGACAACAUGAAGUUGUUCUACAAGUUAUUUUGGAGAAAUUGACUUACCAUACCACUCAUCAACCCAUGCAAAAGCCUGUCUAUGUCCAAUCAGCAGAAUGUCUCGGACCACCUAAAAAGUAAAAGAAGGAGACUGAAAUAAUAGCAUCUUUGAUGAAAACUAUCUGGAAGACAAGUUGUUAACAAUGCUGGGGAUCUUGGUGAUGACAGAGUUCUUAAUCCCUCUGUCCAUAGGUGAUGACAAUUACAGGCUGCCUAUAGGUCCUAUAGUGCUCACACACCUCCAGCCCUUCCCCAUGGUGUACACACACUUGCAGUAUAUUCAUCUCCUUGUCUUAUUUGAGAGUAGGGCUGGGUGUGUGUACAAACUAAUGACAAAUACUUGACAGUCACACAGCAGUGAUACAAAUAAAUAUCUAGGUUAAUUAC